rnacentral:rRNA from 1 species
AUGAACUGGGUAAAUACAUUAAGGUCUCUCUCCCUGUCAGGAGAACCAUGGCCGAACUAUGUUUGGCUAGAAUGGGAUGCGGACGAUGAAGAAAUUCGCUGCCCACCCACCACCCACUUGGUAGCCACUGUCGACGACUUAACCGACAUGCUUAACUUCGACUCGGAAGACAUCAACGGCAUGAACAAAGAUGCAGGAGAUGAACAAGAACCAGCGCCCACAGGACGCCGGACAACCACUUCAUCACAUGACAUAUACAUGGUGGAUACACCCAAAGAGGGCAAUGGCGAAGAAACAGCGGAGGAUGCCCCCUCCAAGCAACCCAAGCGCCGACGUCAGCGGUGCCGCUCUAAGUCCCGCCAUAGCAAAAACAGCGAUAACAACGCAAGAGGAAAUAACAGUCCAGUCGACUCUGGAAGAAACGACGACUGCACCGCCCCGGUGGCAGAACACGAUCAAGAUGCAAACGGCGAACGUAGUGCGGAUCCAGCGUCCGAACACGGCGACGCCAAGGAUAAACCUCAUCAAACCCCGUCUGGGGAGGAAAACAGUCCGGACGAAGAUGCACACAUCAUCCCGGAAACGCACUUGGAGCAAGAGAACCUCCGCAGAAGGCUUAUUGCCACAGCGAGGAGCCUGAAGAAGCAGAAGGAAAUGCUUAAGGCCAUACAAGAUAUGCUCAACAACAGGUGGAACAAAGUGCUCGACAACGAAACAAAGUAUGGUGGAAGUUACCACACAAAUAGCUAUCCAAAGCGCAAGCUAUUACCUGAAUUCGACGAUGAGGCCUUAGAGCCCACACAACCGAAAAAUGAUACGGCCAACCAACCGGAUCCACCACCUUGUGACCGCGAUAGCGCGGCUAACAAAGUUGCACAUAAGUCAACACACGAUCUACGUGAGAACUUGCGCCAAAAAUCCGGCAUGACCAGAUCCAUUUAUGGAUCUAGGAAGCGCGCUCCGGCACAAAAUCAAAACCGAAUACUACAACCGUCCGAACACCACGGCAUAUCACAAUAUAGGGGUGCCGCACCCCCCCUAUGUUUCACCGAUGAGGUGCUGGAUCACAAAUUCCCAGAAGGAUUCAAACCAGUGAACAUAGAGGCAUACGACGGGACCACAGACCCUGGAGUCUGGAUUGAGGACUUUAUCCUCCAUAUUCAUAUGGCUCACGGAGACGAUCUCCAUGCCAUUAAAUACUAG